ACAGGUGCUGCAUGGCUGUCGUCAGCUCGUGUCGUGAGAUGUUGGGUUAAGUCCCGCAACGAGCGCAACCCUCAUCCUUAGUUGCCAGCGGUUCGGCCGGGCACUCUAAGGAAACUGCCGGUGACAAGCCGGAGGAAGGCGAGGAUGACGUCAAGUCCUCAUGGCCCUUAUGGGCUGGGCUACACACGUGCUACAAUGGCAGUGACAACGGGAAGCAAGACCGCGAGGUGGAGCUAAUCCCCAAAAGCUGUCUCAGUUCGGAUUGUACUCUGCAACUCGAGUGCAUGAAGUUGGAAUCGCUAGUAAUCGCGGAUCAGCAUGCCGCGGUGAAUACGUUCUCGGGCCUUGUACACACCGCCCGUCACACCAUGGGAGUUGGCUUUA
rnacentral:rRNA from 1 species